rnacentral:rRNA from 1 species
AUUGAACGCUGGCGGCAGGCCUAACACAUGCAAGUAGAACGAAUGGCGGACGGGUGAGUCAUGUCUUGGAAACUGCCCGAUGGAGGGGGAUAACUACUGGACACGGUAGAUAAUACCGCAUACCAUCGGAUGUGCCCAGAUGGUAUUAGCUAGUAGGUGGGGUAACGGCUCACCUAGGCCACGAUCCCUAGCUGGUCUUAGAGGGUGACCAGCCACACUGGAACUGAUACACGGUCCAGACUCCUACGGGAGGCAGCAGUGGGGAAUAUUGCACAAUGGGCCCAAGCCUGAUGCAGCCAUGCCGCGUGUAUGAAGAAGGCCUUCGGGUUGUAAAGUACUUUCAGCGAGGAGGCGUUACUCGCAGAAGAAGCAUCGGCUAACUCCGUGCCAGCAGCCGCGGUAAUAC